rnacentral:rRNA from 1 species
UACAGAGGGGGCAAGCGUUGUUCGGAAUUACUGGGCGUAAAGGGCGCGUAGGCGGCAGAUCAAGUCAGGGGUGAAAUCCGGCAGCUCAACUGUCGAAGUGCCUUUGAUACUGAUUUGCUCGAGGGAGAUAGGGGUCUGCGGAACUUCUGGUGGAGCGGUGAAAAUGCGUUGAUAUCAGAAGGAACGCCGGUGGCGAAAGCGGCGGACUGGAUCUCUUCUGACGCUGAGGCGCGAAAGCUAGGGGAGCAAACGGG